GCACUAAUCAAAUAAGAAUGAAUAUGGAAUAAAUGGCCCAAAAAUGAUAUAGGAAGAAUUACAACUCCGGGACAUCAAAUUGCACCACAAUAUAAAACCAACAGCCAAGAAAAUUGUAAACCCUAUAAAAAAUUCAGUCCAUGAAACUGUCUACCCGCUGGAUGUCCAAACACUUAAAACUUACCAUAAUUUAAAAGAAAAAGCCUACAAAAACCAAUUGCCCCUUCUUUAACUAUUGUUCUCAAGCAGCAGAAACCAAAGGUGCCACAAUUUUUGCAGCCUCAUUGACCAUUCUAUCAGCACGGCCGCUCAUACGGUCAACAUUGCCGUUGAUGUGCCCCCCAGGGCACAUCUAAGUUGGCGGAACAAUCACAUUGGAGAGCUCUGGAACCAAGCGUGGGGAGUUCGAUUCCUGGUGGGAACCUUUGAUUCAAUAAAUGAGGAAUUAUUGGUGGAUU
rnacentral:lncRNA from 1 species